GGCAGACCCAGGGAACUGAAACAUCUAAGUACCUGGAGGAAGAGAAAGAAAAAUCGAUUUCCUGAGUAGCGGCGAGCGAAACGGAAAGAGCCCAAACCAAGAAGCUUGCUUCUUGGGGUUGUAGGACACUCUAUACGGAGUUACAAAAGAAAGUUAUAAAUGAAGCGGUCUGGAAAGGCCCGCCAAAGACGGUAACAGCCCGGUAGUUGAAAUGGCUUUCCCUCCAGAGUGGAUCCUGAGUACGGCGGAACACGUGAAAUUCCGUCGGAAUCCGGGAGGACCAUCUCCCAAGGCUAAAUACUCCCUAGUGACCGAUAGUGAACCAGUACCGUGAGGGAAAGGUGAAAAGCACCCCGGAAGGGGAGUGAAACAGUUCCUGAAACCGUGUGCCUACAAGUAGUUAGAGCCCGUUAAUGGGUGAUAGCGUGCCUUUUGUAGAAUGAACCGGCGAGUUACGAUUUGUUGCAAGGUUAAGCGGAAAAAGCGGAGCCGUAGCGAAAGCGAGUCUGAAUAGGGCGCAUAAGUAACAGGUCGUAGACCCGAAACCAGGUGAUCUACCCAUGUCCAGGAUGAAGGUAAGGUAAUACUUACUGGAGGUCCGAACCCACGCACGUUGAAAAGUGCGGGGAUGAGGUGUGGGUAGCGGAGAAAUUCCAAUCGAACUUGGAGAUAGCUGGUUCUCUCCGAAAUAGCUUUAGGGCUAGCCUCGAGGUAAAGAGUCAUGGAGGUAGAGCACUGUUUGGACUAGGGGCCCUUCUCGGGUUACCGAAUUCAGAUAAACUCCGAAUGCCAUGUACUUAUACUCGGGAGUCAGACUGCGAGUGAUAAGAUCCGUAGUCGAAAGGGAAACAGCCCAGACCACCAGUUAAGGUCCCCAAAUAUAUGUUAAGUGGAAAAGGAUGUGGGGUUGCUUAGACAACCAGGAUGUUGGCUUAGAAGCAGCCACCAUUGAAAGAGUGCGUAAUAGCUCACUGGUCGAGUGACCCCGCGCCGAAAAUGUACCGGGGCUAAACAUAUUACCGAAACUGUGGAUGAACCUCUUCGGA
rnacentral:rRNA from 1 species